UGUUAAAAAUUUCUUCUAUUUGUACUUUUAAAAACUGGUGUGACUGAUAGAAUAACCAGACAGUAACGCUUAUACAAGAACCAAUUUUUAAUAGUAAAAAUGAAUGAAAUUUUUAAUA
rfam:Gossypium hirsutum cultivar TM-1 unplaced genomic scaffold scaffold1147.1, whole genome shotgun sequence